rnacentral:lncRNA from 1 species
AAGGAGGUCGAAGCAGCGUCGAUUCGUCGGCGUGAUCGGAAGAAGACAGAAGGGUGGGUUGGUGACGUUGGCGCGCGGUUUACAGCGUGGUAGUGGAGGACGAAAGUUUGGAAGGUUGAAUCGCCGGCGGAUGGUGAUCGAUUUUGGGAGAGGAAAGAUUGUUGGUGGAAUGUGAAGAGGGUGGAGCUAGUUGGAAGGAAGAAGACGAUUGGGUCUUUUCCUGUUUUUGUUUUUUUCUUUCUUUUUCUUUCUGAGAGACAACGUGUGGAAGAGUCCCAACGGAUCGGUUUUUUUUUUUUUUUUCAUUUUCCUUUUCAGAGUGAAAGAGAGAUUAAGUGGAGAGAGAUUGUCACUGGAGGGUACUCCUCCCCUUUCCUUUUGACGUGAGAUAUCUUUUUUAAUUAAAAAUCGGUUUUUUUUUUUUUUCAUUUUCCUUUUCAGAGUGAAAGAGAGAUUAAGUGGAGAGAGAUUGUCACUGGAGGGUACUCCUCCCCUUUCCUUUUGACGUGAGAUAUCUUUUUUAAUUAAAA